rnacentral:rRNA from 1 species
CCUACGGGAGGCAGCAGUGAGGAAUAUUGGUCAAUGGACGAGAGUCUGAACCAGCCAAGUAGCGUGAAGGAUGACUGCCCUAUGGGUUGUAAACUUCUUUUAUAUGGGAAUAAAACAGGGUAUGCAUACCCUCUGGUAUGUACCAUAUGAAUAAGGAUCGGCUAACUCCGUGCCAGCAGCCGCGGUAAUACGGAGGAUCCGAGCGUUAUCCGGAUGUAUUGGGUUUAAAGGGAGCGUAGGUGGAUUGUUAAGUCAGUUGUGAAAGUUUGCGGCUCAACCGUAAAAUUGCAGUUGAAACUGGCAGUCUUGAGUACAGUAGAGGUGGGCGGAAUUCGUGGUGUAGCGGUGAAAUGCUUAGAUAUCACGAAGAACUCCGAUUGCGAAGGCAGCUCACUGGACUGCAACUGACACUGAUGCUCGAAAGUGUGGGUAUCAAACAGGAUUAGAUACCCCAGUAGUC